GAUCCUCUCUGUUGUGAUUCAUCCCCCCCAGGCCCUACAGUUUCUCCUUCCUGACUCUUACAUUUCUUUGGAUGGCAUCACUAUUAAGCCUGUGGCUGACUGACAGCUCAACUUGGAGAAGGUGUUACCUGGGCCAGGUGGGGAAGGUAGGGUUGUUUGCAGAGCAAAGAAGUGAAGCCUAUUCAAUGUGAAAAAGAUGAGGGCGAAGACCUUUAUGAUGAUCCAAGUAAUGAACACACUGGAGAAAGUCAAACAGUCAAAACAAUGUCCCAGACUCCGUGAAGUUCCUGGGUAGAGAAGUAGACAGACGUACACCAUACCUAAUAAUUGGAGGUCCAAGAGAAUGAGAGAAUGGCAGAAAGAACUUUAGAGCAUGGGUAUGAUGGCUAGAGCUUGAGCAGCCAUUGUGGACAUCAGAUGAACCUGAAAGUGAAAACUAUGAGCUGAAUAUGACAAAGCAAAUAGAAAACUGGAUUCAUGAUGACACUGCAAAGCUGCCAGACCAGCUCUAGUCUGCUUCUCCCUAAUCUUCCUUACUAAGAGAGAGAAAUAAACUUCCAUCUUCUUCAAGGCA
rnacentral:antisense_RNA from 1 species